UACGUAGGGUCCGAGCGUUGUUCGGAAUUACUGGGCGUAAAGAGCUCGUAGGUGGUUUGUCGCGUUGUUCGUGAAAACUCACAGCUCAACUGUGGGCGUGCGGGCGAUACGGGCAGACUUGAGUACUGCAGGGGAGACUGGAAUUCCUGGUGUAGCGGUGGAAUGCGCAGAUAUCAGGAGGAACACCGGUGGCGAAGGCGGGUCUCUGGGCAGUAACUGACGCUGAGGAGCGAAAGCGUGGGGAGCGAACAGG
rnacentral:rRNA from 1 species